GUGUUCACUUCAGCAGCACAUAUACUAAAAUUGCACUGAUACAGAGAAGAUCAGUAUGACCCCUGUGCAUGCAAGACAUGCAAAUUGGUGAAGCAUUCCGUAUUUUU